CCUGUUACCCCUUUAGAUCUCCAGUCUAGUGCACUCCUUAGGGCGGCAAGGUAGGCUGCUUUUAGAGCACCUAGAUUGAUGAAACAGAAAACUGGGAAGGUA